UGGGGAAUAUUGGGCAAUGGGCGAAAGCCUGACCCAGCAACGCCGCGUGAAUGAUGAAGGCCUUCGGGUUGUAAAACUCUUUGGACAGGGACGAAGAAAGUGACGGUACCUGUAGAACAAGCCACGGCUAACUACGUGCCAGCAGCCGCGGUAAUACGUAGGUGGCGAGCGUUGUCCGGAAUUAUUGGGCGUAAAGGGUACGUAGGUGGUUUUUUAAGUCAGGUGUCAAAGCGUGGAGCUUAACUCCAUUAAGCACUUGAAACUGAAAGACUUGAGUGAAGGAGAGGAAAGUGGAAUUCCUAGUGUAGCGGUGAAAUGCGUAGAUAUUAGGAGGAAUACCGGUGGCGAAGGCGACUUUCUGGACUUUUACUGACGCUCAGGUACGAAAGCGUGGGGAGCAAACAGG
rnacentral:rRNA from 1 species